rnacentral:rRNA from 1 species
GGCAAGAGCUCAGAUUUGAAAUCUCACCUAGUGUGCGAGUUGUAAAUUGCAGGUUGGAGUCUCGGUUUAGACGUGUGUGCAAGUCCCUUGGAACAGGGCGCCACUGAGGGUGAGAGCCCCGUAGUGUGCACGUCGAUAGCUGUGAGGCCCUUCUGACGAGUCGAGUUGUUUGGGAAUGCAGCUCUAAGUGGGUGGUAAAUUCCAUCUAAGGCUAAAUAUUGGCGAGAGACCGAUAGCGAACAAGUACUGUGAAGGAAAGAUGAAAAGCACUUUGAAAAGAGAGUGAAACAGCACGUGAAAUUGUUGAAAGGGAAGGGUAUUGGGCUCGACAUGGGAUUUACGCAUCGUUGCCUCUCGUGGGCGGCGCUCUGGGUUUUUCCUGGGCCAGCAUCGGUUUUCGUUGCAGGAUAAGGACCUUUGGAAUGUGGCUCCUCGGAGUGUUAUAGCCAUUGGUAGAUGCUGCAUAUGGGGACCGAGGGCUGCGGCGGACUUGUUUCGUCUCGGAUGCUGGCACAACGGCGCAAUACCGCCCGU